rnacentral:hammerhead_ribozyme from 1 species
AUCCAGCCGACGAGACUCAAACAGGACGAAAUAUGUGUCCUGGAU